rnacentral:rRNA from 1 species
GACCUCGGAUCAGGCAGGACCACCCGCUGAACUUAAGCAUAUCAAUA